rnacentral:rRNA from 1 species
AUGCCGUCCGUCUCCGUCCGCCGGGAAAGGGCCAAGCCCCGGGCCGAUGUAAAGGACUUCUACCUCCUGCCUCGGCGUCCAAGGUGCAGCCCCGUUGCAACACUUCAAGCCGGCCGCCUCGCCCUAGCCCGCUUAGUCGAUCCUCUACUGUCACCAAGCACAAGAACAAAAGCAAGGCUAUUUUGGCUUGUGGUACAAGUUCAACCAGCCAAGUAG